GAUGAACGCUGGCGGCGUGCCUAAUACAUGCAAGUCGAACGAGGUGCUUUUGUAGCAAUACGAGAGUAUCCUAGUGGCGAACGGGUGAGUAACGCGUUGGUGACCUACCCCAAAGUGUGGGAUAACAGUCCGAAAGGAUUGCUAAUACCGCAUGUGGUCUUCAGGUUUAGAAACUGAUGACUAAAGGAGCAAUUCGCUUUGGGAGGGACCUGCGUCCCAUCAGCUAGUUGGUGAGGUAACGGCUCACCAAGGCGACGACGGGUAGGGGACCUGAGAGGGUGACCCCCCACAAUGGAACUGAAACACGGUCCAUACACCUACGGGUGGCAGCAGUAGGGAAUAUUGCACAAUGGGCGAAAGCCUGAUGCAGCAACGCCGCGUGUGCGAUGAAGGCCUUCGGGUCGUAAAGCACUUUUCUGAGAGAUGAGAAAGGACAGUAUCUCAGGAAUAAGUCUCGGCUAACUACGUGC
rnacentral:rRNA from 1 species